AGUUGCCAUCAGGUAAAGCUGGGAACGUCUGGGGAGGACUGCCGGUGAUAAACCGGAGGAAGGCGGGGUGACGUCAAGUCCUCAUGGCCCUUACAUCCCGGGCUACACACGUGCUACAAUGGCAGGUACAGAGGGCUGCGAAGCCGCGAGGUGGAGCGAAUCCCAGAAAACCUGUCUCAGUCCGGAUUGAAGUCUGCAACUCGACUUCAUGAAGGCGGAAUCGCUAGUAACCGCGAAUCAGCAGGUCGCGGUGAAUACGUUCCCGGGCCUU
rnacentral:rRNA from 1 species